AACGCACAUUGCGCCCCUUGGUAUUCCGAGGGGCAUGCCUGUUCGAGCGUCAUUACAACCCCUCAAGCUCUGCUUGGUGUUGGGGCCUGCCGCACCGGCAGCCCUUAAAAUCAGUGGCGGCGCCAUCUGGCUCUGAGCGUAGUAACUCUUCUCGCUACAGGGUCCCGGUGGAUGCUCGCCAUCAACCCCAAACUUUCUAUGGUUGACCUCGGAUCAGGUAGGGAUACCCGCUGAACUUAA
rnacentral:misc_RNA from 1 species